ACAAUACCAAUUUGUAAGUCGCUCUGGAUAAGAGCGUCUGCUAAAUGGCUAAAA
rfam:Salmo salar isolate Sally breed double haploid chromosome ssa03, whole genome shotgun sequence.